UAGGGAAUCUUCGGCAAUGGACGAAAGUCUGACCGAGCAACGCCGCGUGAGUGAAGAAGGUUUUCGGAUCGUAAAACUCUGUUGUUAGAGAAGAACAAGGACGUUAGUAACUGAACGUCCCCUGACGGUAUCUAACCAGAAAGCCACGGCUAACUACGUGCCAGCAGCCGCGGUAAUACGUAGGUGGCAAGCGUUGUCCGGAUUUAUUGGGCGUAAAGCGAGCGCAGGCGGUUUCUUAAGUCUGAUGUGAAAGCCCCCGGCUCAACCGGGGAGGGUCAUUGGAAACUGGGAGACUUGGGUGCAGAAGAGGAGAGUGGAAUUCCAUGUGUGGCGGUGAAAUGCGUAGAUAUAUGGAGGCACACCAGUGGCGAAGGCGGCUCUCUGGUCUGUAACUGACGCUGAGGCUCGAAAGCGUGGGGAGCAAACAGA
rnacentral:rRNA from 1 species